rnacentral:rRNA from 1 species
UACGGAGGGUGCAAGCGUUAUCCGGAUUCACUGGGUUUAAAGGGUGCGUAGGCGGGCAGGUAAGUCCGUGGUGAAAUCUCUGAGCUUAACUCAGAAACUGCCAUGGAUACUAUUUGUCUUGAAUAUUGUGGAGGUAAGCGGAAUAUGUCAUGUAGCGGUGAAAUGCUUAGAUAUGACAUAGAACACCAAUUGCGAAGGCAGCUUACUACACAGUUAUUGACGCUGAGGCACGAAAGCGUGGGGAGCAAACGGG